GUGAAUAUGAAGUUAGGUUUUCUCAAUCUCAGAGAAAACAAUGGGAGGAUUCCUUAAGAAAAAUUGUAGUUAUAUUGUUAAUCUGACUCAAACAAUGUAAGCAUGAAUAUGUAAUCUAUAAAAGGGUAGCACUGAGUAGUUUUCAUGAAUUCGAACUCCUAACAAAAUCACCCCUAAAAUUCAUAACGCAAAAAAAAAAAAGAUCAAUUCUAAGUCCUCAGCAUAACCUGCUGCCAGUAUUUGAAACAGCUGAUCACUUUAUCCUUCUAGAAAAACUGCUUUUGCCUUGAUUUUGGGGACGAUUUUGGGGAUAUUUCCUUUUCAGAUUUUUAACUUACUUCCCUGGUAGAUACUUGUCAGAAUUCUUUGCUGGAUCCUGUUAAUUUUCCCAACUGUUAAAUGUCGUUGAUUCCGUGGACACAGUACUUGCUCCCCUAUUCCCUACCAAAGUUCUCACUGACUUCCUUUUAAAGUACCCUGGAAACUGACAGAUUUGUAGCUUCAACCAGAAAAUUCAGGCACAUAUUUACCACAUUCUUAUGAUUUCUUUUUUUCCUGGAUCCACAAAGAUUGAAACUCGCCACAUGGGGGCACAUUCGUUCACCAUAACUGUGACUAAAAUUGGUGACAUUUUAAUUUGCAGGCAAUUACCUCUACAAACACCUCCCUUCAUUAGAAAUAAAAAUUGAGAUGUUCCAAGCAUCUUACAGGUCAAAGAGCUAAGCCAGAUCCUCACUCAAGCACUCAAGAGUUUUUUUGUUGUUUUUUUUUCCCGAGAAAAACUCUGGAGGAACAAACAACUUUGAACAUUUUCCCACUGAAGUCCUAGCGUUUUGGCGCUGACAGCGUUAACUUCUACACGGAAGCUGCCCCUCCGCCCUCCAGAAGGAAAGAGGACCCGUAUGGGAGCCGCAGAGAAGCACCUAGAACCCUGGGGCCUGAGGGCCGGCUGGAGGCAACACAGGGCUGAACCCCUGUCAGCCUGCCGGGGGACGCGGUGCCCGCCCUCCGGCAUCCGGGAAACAGCGUCCCAGCCGGCGCCUGCGCAGGUGCCACACUUCCUGGUCCUCUCUGGCUGCUUCUGA
rnacentral:lncRNA from 1 species